rnacentral:rRNA from 1 species
UUACACAUGCAAGUCGAACGGCAGCACGGGAGCAAUCCUGGUGGCGAGUGGCGAACGGGUGAGUAACGCAUCGGAACGUGUCCUGUCGUGGGGGAUAGCCCGGCGAAAGCCGGAUUAAUACCGCAUACGACAUACGGGUGAAAGCGGGGGAUCGCAAGACCUCGCGCGAUUGGAGCGGCCGAUGUCAGAUUAGCUUGUUGGUGGGGUAAAAGCUUACCAAGGCGACGAUCUGUAGCUGGUCUGAGAGGACGACCAGCCACACCGGGACUGAGACACGGCCCAGACUCCUACUGGAGGCAGCAGUGCGGAAUUUUGGACAAUGGGCCCAACCCUGAACCAGCCCCCC